GACGAACGCUGGCGGCGUGCUUAACACAUGCAAGUCGAACGGAAAGGCCCUGCUCUUGUGGGGUGCUCGAGUGGCGAACGGGUGAGUAACACGUGAGUAACCUGCCCUUGACUUUGGGAUAACUUCAGGAAACUGGGGCUAAUACCGGAUAGGAGCUCCUGCUGCAUGGUGGGGGUUGGAAAGUUUCGGCGGUUGGGGAUGGACUCGCGGCUUAUCCGCUUGUUGGUGGGGUAGUGGCUUACCAAGGCUUUGACGGGUAGCCGGCCUGAGAGGGUGACCGGCCACAUUGGGACUGAGAUACGGCCCAGACUCCUACGGGAGGCAGCAGUGGAGAGUAUUGCACAAUGGGCGGAAGCCUGAUGCAGCAACGCCGCGUGCGGGAUGACGGCCUUCGGGUUGUAAACCGCUGUCGCCUGUGACGAAGCGUGAGUGAUGGUAAUGGGUAAAGAAGCACCGGCUAACUACGUG
rnacentral:rRNA from 1 species